CCGUGCUAAGUGGGGAGGUAGCGGUUCCCUUUUCCCGAAAUCCGCUCUAUGCGGGGCUGAAUUCCCACAGGAGGGGAUAUUUCGACGAAGGAAAGGGUCCUCUGGUAUGUUGAGGUCUGGACCCCGCGCAACGGCUGCUCUCGAACCCCGUCAGGUCCGGAAGGAAGCAGCGGUAAGAGGUGAUAUGCU
rnacentral:SRP_RNA from 1 species